rnacentral:tRNA from 1 species
GGGCAGGUAGCUCAGUCGGUACGAGCGUCCGCCUGAAAAGUGGAAGGUCGGCGGUUCGACCCCGCCCCUGCCCAC